rnacentral:rRNA from 1 species
GAUCAUGGCUCAGGAUGAACGCUAGCUACAGGCUUAACACAUGCAAGUCGAGGGGCAGCGCAGUGUAGCAAUACAUGGGCGGCGACCGGCGCACGGGUGCGUAACGCGUAUCCAACCUUCCCGUUACUCAGGGAUAGCCUUCCGAAAGGGAGAUUAAUACAGGAUGGUGUUCGAAUUCCGCAUGUUAUUCGAACUAAAGAUUCAUCGGUAACGGAUGGGGAUGCGUGACAUUAGGUAGAUGGCGGGGUAACGGCCCACCAUGCCUACGAUGUCUAGGGGUUCUGAGAGGAAGGUCCCCCACACUGGAACUGAGACACGGUCCAGACUCCUACGGGAGGCAGCAGUGAGGAAUAUUGGUCAAUGGUCGAGAGACUGAACCAGCCAAGUAGCGUGAAGGAUGAAGGUUCUAUGGAUUGUAAACUUCUUUUAUACGGGAAUAAAACCACCUACGUGUAGGUGCUUGUAUGUACCGUAUGAAUAAGCAUCGGCUAACUCCGUG